AGGUCCAGUAUAUUUCUACUCUUCAAUUAUGGCGUUCAUAUAUUGAACACUGGUGCAUUCUCCAUCAUUAUAUGGUGCGUUCAAUUAUGAUAGGGAAGUACUGUUUCUGCCAUGGGUUCCUUAGUUGGACUGAAGCAAGUCCGGAAAAUUGCUGAAGCCUGCAUAAAGAACACAAAGAAUCCGAUUUCUCACAUCCAGGAACUCCGAACCAAACUUGAGCUGGCUAAAAAAUAUGAACUGGCAAUGGAUCAGUGACACUGGUAGGAUACCGAGCAGUGUGGUGUGGGCAACGAUGAAUCGGACAGCAAGAAGAAGCACAAAUUGUCAAAGUAGAAGUUGACCGUGAUCUGGAUGAACAGCGUCAGUGGCUUGCUGGCAGAUCGUUUGCAGUUUCUGAGUUGGUCGAACUAUUGCCAUUGGGGGCAGGUUGUACCUUUCAAUUCGUCAAGCAUUGACCCUUUCUGUGGGUUGGUCUGUUCCUGCUAGAUUUUUUUUUUUGCACAUCGUUGGAAAUGGGACAUAGGAACACAAACAACUUUCUUCA